AUUGAACGCUGGCGGCAGGCUUAACACAUGCAAGUCGAGCGGAGAUGAGGUGCUUGCACCUUAUCUUAGCGGCGGACGGGUGAGUAAUGCUUAGGAAUCUGCCUAUUAGUGGGGGACAACAUUCCGAAAGGAAUGCUAAUACCGCAUACGCCCUACGGGGGAAAGCAGGGGAUCUUCGGACCUUGCGCUAAUAGAUGAGCCUAAGUCGGAUUAGCUAGUUGGUGGGGUAAAGGCCUACCAAGGCGACGAUCUGUAGCGGGUCUGAGAGGAUGAGCCGCCACACUGGGACGGAGACACGGCCCAGACUCCUACGGGAGGCAGCAGUGGGGAAUAUUGGACAAUGGGCGGAAGCCUGAUCCAGCCAUGCCGCGUGUGUGAAGAAGGCCUUUUGGUUGUAAAGCACUUUAAGCGAGGAGGAGGCUACCUGGAUUAAUACUCUAGGAUAGUGGACGUUACUCGCAGAAUAAGCACCGGCUAACUCUGUGCCAGCAGCCGCAGUAACAC
rnacentral:rRNA from 1 species